UGAGGAAUAUUGGUCAAUGGUCGGAAGACUGAACCAGCCAUGCCGCGUGAAGGUCAGUGCCCUAUGGGCGUUAAACUUCUUUUGUGUGAGAGCAAUAAGGACCUCGUGAGGUCCGAUGAGAGUAUCACACGAAUAAGCAUCGGCUAACUCCGUGCCAGCAGCCGCGGUAAUACGGGGGAUGCGAGCGUUAUCCGGAUUUAUUGGGUUUAAAGGGUGCGUAGGCGGCCUGUUAAGUCAGCGGUGAAAUAUCCUCGCUCAACGAGGAGACUGCCGUUGAUACUGGUGGGCUUGAAUGCGGAUGCCGUUGGAGGAAUGUGUGGUGUAGCGGUGAAAUGCAUAGAUAUCACACAGAACACCGAUUGCGAAGGCAUCUGACGAAUCCGCGAUUGACGCUGAUGCACGAAAGCGUGGGUAUCAAACAGGA
rnacentral:rRNA from 1 species